rnacentral:lncRNA from 1 species
CCGUCUUGUUCAGUACCUUACCCCCCCCCCCCGCAUGUCCCUGGUGCCUGACAUUUCGGUUGGUGACUAAAUAUUUGUUGAAGGGAAGAAACCCGAGCAGUAAGAAGGGAUCCGCAGAGAGAGAAAGUCACAGCGCACGUCCUUGUAAAAGCUCACUGCGGGAUACAGUCAGGCGUGGAUUCUGCGGCUUAGUCACCGUCACCGUACAAACAUCCCGAGGCACAAUGACGCAGACCGGCUACACGUCCAGGCAGCGCACCACUCAGCUGCGCACUGCAGACCACGACACCAAGGGAACCAUAAAGCAACCUGGACAUAGACAUGGUGGAUCAAGACACUCUAACUGCUCAGUCAGAACCCAGUGACGGAGGGUUGUUGAUGGUUGCUGGCACCACAAGCAAACAAAACAAGCCAAAUCUUUAAAGAAAAUAAUUACGAAAAAUCCUAUAGCUAAAUUAAAAGUUUUGUUUCAACAGAAAAACCUGAAAAGUGUGUGAUGUCCUACCAUGAGUUAAAUAUACAUGCCAAGAGGCUGCGGGGGGGGGGGGGGACUGCUCCACUGUUGGAGGGAGUGUGGACUGGUUC